rnacentral:miRNA from 2 species
UUCAAGUAAUUCAGGUG